ACACCCCUACUUUAUAAGUCAAAAAUUGUAUCUACAAAUUUGAAGAGUCAAACUUGAGUAAAUGUAGAAGAUUUGCAAUUGAAAAUUAUAGAAGACCAAAACUUUAUAAAUAGCCGACUUUAAAAUUUCAAGAGCAAUCUGACGUCCAGAAAAGUCGAAAACAUCAAAAGCUGUUAACUAUUUCUGCAACCCCUAUGGAAUCUGUGGGAGAUGCUGGCUCCCGUCUACACCCAAAAUGGAGCAAACUGACUAACAAUGGUCAUCGUUCUUUCACUUCAGAUUCAAGCUUUAAAAUCCCUAUUCUGCCUACAGAAUUGAUCAACGAAAUCCUCUCAAGGCUACCAGUGAAAUCCCUUUUAAAAUUCAGAAUUACCCUGGGUUCUGUGCGUGCUUCCUGAUUCCUACUAGGAUGUUGAAAAUAAGGUUAAUGGAGGCGAACCUUUUAUCUGUGGGCAGACUUUACCAUAUGACCCCAAGUAUCAUGAGGUGUGGGUGAGAAAUCGUCAAGAGGAUAUAUAUAUAUAUAUAGAAAAUAUAGGCGGAACAACCGACCUCGUAAGUACUUCUCGCACCGCUCAGUAUGCGCGCUGGAUCCAACGUACCAGGAGUGGGAGGGCCGCCCAAUAUUGAGGGGAUGCAGCAGCACAACAUGCCUCCUAUAUAUUCAGUUAUGGAAAAUUUCGCAUGAUCAUUAGCAUAUAUAAAAGCCUUUCUGGGCAUUUUGUAUAUAUAAAGGAUUUAGUGGUAUCAGGUGUUUACCCUCAACCAAUAAAGGCACGACUCAAAAUCUACGUACAUUUAACUUUUAAAAUAGUUAUUUGAUUAAAGCUCUUGAAAAUGAGAAGAGAAAAACAAAUUGGGUUAAGCA